UGCACCUUACUUAUACAGUAUAAGGUUGAUGCCUUGUAGAAACUUAUAAAUGGAUGAAAUGUUAGUUGAAAUUUUAAGUUUAUUUUGAUAAAUUUCUCAAUUAUUUUUCUGUGUACGAUGCGUGAUGUAAUUGUUGGAGCAUAUUCCCAUCUACCUUGAUUUUCAGUUUAUAGCAGCAUAGAAUGGUGAUUAUAUAAAGAUAAUGGUGAUAUGUAUCAGUAGUGGCAUCUUCCAUGGAACCUAUUCCCAUCCACCUUGAUUUUCAGUUUAUAGCAGCAUAGAAUGGUGAUUAUAUAAAGAUAAUGGUGAUAUGUAUCAGUAGUGGCAUCUUUCAAGUUUGUUUAGCUCUCAUGUAGUACAUGCAUCUUCAAUGUAGAUGAGUACGAGUCCAUAUACAUACAUAUGCGCUACAAAAUGGGAUCAAUGAUCAUGGAAUCCCCUUAGAAGAAGGGAAUAUUAAUCAAUAACAAUUUGAUAGUUGACAACUCAGAAACCAGCUCUCACAGCUCCUUGUCCAAAGUGCCCCAUUAAAUAGAAGUUGAUACAACCCCAAGCUGCUCCUUCUUGCCUCUUCCGAUAUGGUAUUUUUUCAAGCACAAAGAAAGAGAGAAUGAGUUCUCGACUGUGAUCUUGAUCAAUAUGAAACCCAAAUUAGUAAGUUAUAUUAUGACCAGAAGACAAACAGCUUAUGACUAUUAGAAAGUCUUGACAAACAGCUUAUGACUAUAUUCCCUUCUGUUUCCCAUCUUUUCUCAUCAACAGAGCAUGCAUGCAUAGGUGACUAGAGAUUGCAGUUCAUGAUUUUGAGAAUAUCCAUAAAGCUAUCGUAUCAUGUAAUAUUCAGAUUGUAGCUUACCCUAUUCACCUUUUGGUUUAUUCUUGUCUGUUAUCCUAUGGAUAUUUUAAUCUUUUUACACUCUUACCCCCGUAGGACCUGUCAUUUGUCAAUGAGAAUCUGUUAUUCUCUCAGACCUCCCGAGCAUGAACCAAACUCAGAUAACCUAAGGUUUCUGUGAGGAAUAGUGUGCUAUUCAUAAAUCAUAAAUGGUGAAUCCAGAUACCUCCACUACUGUGGUAACUGAAUGUAAAUCUCUUUUACCCUCUAAACCAUCCUUCUGAGAUAUUCCACCAAAUGGCAUCACUCUUUCUUUGACUUUUCAGCAACUAAAGCUACACUCUUCUUUAUUUUGAAUUAAGUUGCCAAACUCUGUUGCCUAUUUCAUGGUCUGGUCCGACUGGCUGUCUUUGUAGUGAUUUUCAACAGACAUAUCGCCUUACGAGUUAUGACCAUUGCUACUAUCCCUACACAGUGAAUGAUAGAACUGAAUUAGUUUCUGAUUCUAGAUGCCUUUUUAAUUUUUAUAAUGAACCUAAGCUUCUGUAGCAUGUAUUGUUAUUCCCGAGUUUUAUGCCAUGCUUCUCUGGCUUUAUCAUCUGCCGUUUUAUAUGUUUGUUUAGAAGGUAAUGAUUUUCUGAAGAGAUUGUACAAUUACAUAUCCACCUUGCUGCUUGAAUGUUGUACUACCUGCUGCCACGUGCACAUUGGAUUGUCAGCCUAGCAGUAAGUCAACAUAUCAGGAAGUCAUUGUAUCCAAAUUUGCUCAGCGAUUUUUAUGUGGAAAAGUGAUAAUGUAAUUAUAUCUGUUUUUAAAUCCACAUUUGUUUUGAGGUUGUGCUCAUGGUGUUCAGUUGAAUUUAAUGAUAAAAAAUGAUUUUUGGUUGAAGUUUAGAACAUCUGAAUCCCCUGUGUUGACUUUUAGCAAUUCAACCUGCAUUCCUUGUUUCCUGACAUUGAAUCUGUUUUUUUUUUUGGUUUGGGGGGCUGGGGGUGUGGUGGGGGUUCUUACAGG
rnacentral:lncRNA from 1 species